UGGGGAAUAUUGGACAAUGGGCGCAAGCCUGAUCCAGCAAUGCCGCGUGUGUGAAGAAGGCCUUCGGGUUGUAAAGCACUUUUAUCAGGAGCGAAACGCUGUCGGCUAAUACCCGGCGGAACUGACGGUACCUGAGGAAUAAGCACCGGCUAACUUCGUGCCAGCAGCCGCGGUAAUACGAAGGGUGCAAGCGUUAAUCGGAAUUACUGGGCGUAAAGCGUGCGUAGGCGGUUUCUUAAGUCUGCUGUGAAAUCCCCGGGCUCAACCUGGGAAUGGCAGUGGAUACUGGGAGGCUAGAGUGUGUCAGAGGGUGGUGGAAUUCCCGGUGUAGCGGUGAAAUGCGUAGAGAUCGGGAGGAACAUCAGUGGCGAAGGCGGCCACCUGGGACAACACUGACGCUGAGGCACGAAAGCGUGGGGAGC
rnacentral:rRNA from 1 species